UACAGGGGUGCAAGCGUUACUCGGAAUUACUGGGCGUAAAGAGCGUGUAGGCGGCUUAACAAGUUUGGUGUGAAAUCCCUGGGCUCAAUCCAGGAAGUGCAUUGAAUACUGUUAGGCUAGAGUAUAGGAGAGGUUGGCGGAAUUCCCGGUGUAGAGGUGAAAUUCGUAGAUAUCGGGAGGAACAACAGAGGCGAAGGCGGCCAACUGGACUAUUACUGACGCUAAGGCGCGAAAGCGU
rnacentral:rRNA from 1 species